rnacentral:rRNA from 1 species
CAGUCGCCGCGGUAAUACGAAGGGGGCUAGCGUUGUUCGGAUUUACUGGGCGUAAAGCGCACGUAGGCGGAUCGUUAAGUCGGGGGUGAAAUCCUGGAGCUCAACUCCAGAACUGCCUUCGAUACUGGCGAGCUUGAGUCCGGAAGAGGUGAGUGGAACUCCUAGUGUAGAGGUGGAAUUCGUAGAUAUUAGGAAGAACACCAGUGGCGAAGGCGGCUCACUGGUCCGGUACUGACGCUGAGGUGCGAAAGCGUGGGGAGCAAACAGGAUUAGAUACCCGCGUAGUCCCUGUCUCUUAUAC